rnacentral:lncRNA from 1 species
AAAAAGGGAAAAUGCGGCGGGUGCAGGUUUUCGAUGCUUUGUACUUUGUUUCCUUGUGGUGAUGUAACGUUGUAUGCAGGUCGUGUUAUGGCUUGCCGUACGGCUCGGGAGAGGCUUCUUCUUACCACCACCACCACCACCAUCAGUGCGUUAGAAGGCUUCUAUCGGUGGUCUAACGAAUUAUUUUUCACUUUGCGGUUUGUGGGGAGGGGUUUUCAUUGACUCUUGGAGAUUGACUGAGAAGUACGAGCCACGGAAUUCGUGACAGGCGCAAUGGUGUUGGAGGUGGUGUUGGAGGUGGUGAUGGUGGUGGUGUUGGAGGUGGUGAUGGUGGUGCUACACUGUCUUACGGAGUGUGAAUACACACGAAGUCGUAUUCGCGCUAUGUUGCCCCCCGGUGGUGCGACCACCCGGCGGUUCCGGGUAGGUGGUACCCUGCAGCUUACAUCCGAUGCCAUUUCGGGAAAUGGAAGGCGCGCUUGGGGGGAGGUUUUGACUCCGGUACUCGUCCGGUGAGGUGAGGUCAGGUGAGGCAUUGCAGUUGUCGGUCCUGUUCCUCCUCAAGAUGCUUAACUCCUUCCAUUGAAGACGACACUCUAAUUCUGUUUUUUAACGACAUUUCAAUGUAAGAUUUCAGUGGCUGUAAAUGUACCCCCUUGUAGUUAGCUGCAGCCUUCUCGCAGCUGCAGCUCUGCCAUUUUAUGUGAGGGUAUAGUUGUAGCAGCUGCAGCUUUUGGUGAAUUCUGGUAAAUCUGUCAUGGCGAUGCGAGUGGUGAAAAUUGAAGAUUGGGUUAUUGGUUGGGUGGGGUUGCAGCUCACCCCCAAGGUGAGGAGGGGAGCGAGCGGGGCUGUUGGAAUUUGGAAGGGGGGGUAAUGGCAGAGGUGGGAAUGGCUUUUUAGGGCGCGAAGACCCUAUCGGGGGUGGUGGGUGACUGAUUGACGGCAGGCAGAAAGAAAUGAGGACGAAAAGGCUUUCAAUGUACGACGACGGAGCGGGCCUGGUGGUUUUUGUUUUCUUGAUUUUAUUGUAAGGCUGGGGGAUGCGGCGGUUGAGGGGGGGGCCCCGGCAGGUGUUAUUCUUAGGGUUUUUACUUUUGGGUUGCGUUCUGGCGGAAGAGGAGGGGCGAGUGUAUGAAUGCCUCUUUUGAGACAUGCUGUAAACCUGCUGUAAACUUACUGGCUGGGUGCGUGUGUGUGUGUGUGUGUGUGUGUGUGUCUCUCAGGUUUUCUCACUCGUGCCCUAUCUGCAUCAUCGGAACAUAUCUCGGCCAUGUAGCAGUAGCAGCAGGCCCGGCGAGCCCCCAACCCCUGCAAUGUAAAGGUGGAACGUGUAAUCCUUAAUAAAAACGUUUGCAAGGCUCACUUACUUAAAAAAAGAAUGGGUUCGGGAUGGUUUACACUCCCCUGGACAAGCCACACCCGUGUGAGAGGGCUGCAUGUACUCCCAAUCGCUGUGGCGAUCGCGGGCUUGACGAAACGCGGCUGAGGGUUCCUGAUGGGACUUGUGCAUCAGAUUGCGCUUGCAAGUUCGCAAUCCCGAGAAAUGUUGAAAUUGGACUACAUACUGUCUCUCGAACGUGUUCAUGAUUAACUUAAUUUUAGGUAUGGAUAUAGUCAUAGAGCUGGAGAUUCUGGUGGCGAGAAGCGGUGGUUGCAUGGGACAUAGCGCGCAGGGCUAGUCGUGCGCGUCGGUGUGGAGCUGGUUGCCUUCAGGCUCUGAUCCGGCGCUCUGACCAAACGCGUUUUGCUUUUACCUCGAGUUUCUGGCUUAUGUACAAGAAGUUUGAGGCUUUCCACCCAGGAACUCCGGAUACGUGAAAGUGCUUUCACAUACGGAGAUAGUAAAUCCGCAGUUGGCCUUGAGAGGUCGUGACACCCUUAUGCAAAUACUGUCUUGUUGAGGCAGGAACGUGCAAGGCCAUCCAUAGGAACCAUGGGCCUCUCGCAGGCUCUACCAACUAACGAACGGAAAACGAACUGCCAACGUGAGGGCUGAGGCUUGAGGCUGAGUAGUACAGACGUGCCA